AAUCAACGCUGGCGGCGUGCCUCAGACAUGCAAGUCGAACGAUUAAAGCUCUCUUCGGAGAGUGCAUAGAGUGGCGCACGGGUGAGCAACACGUAAGUAAUCUACCUUCGAGUGGGGAAUAACGUCCGGAAACGGACGCUAAUACCGCAUAAUGCAGCGGCAUCGCAAGAUGACAGUUGUUAAAGAUUUAUCGCUUGAAGAGGAGCUUGCGGCAGAUUAGCUAGUUGGUAAGGUAAUGGCUUACCAAGGCUACGAUCUGUAACCGGUCUAAGAGGACGGUCGGUCACACUGACACUGAAUAACGGGUCAGACUCCUACGGGAGGCAGCAGUCGGGAAUUUUGGGCAAUGGGCGAAAGCCUGACGCAGCGACGCCGCGUGAAGGAUGAAGUAUUUCGGUAUGUAAACUUCGAAAGAAUGGGAAGAAUCAAUGACGGUACCAUUUAUAAGGUCCGGCUAACUACGUGCCAGCAGCCGCAGU
rnacentral:rRNA from 1 species